CCCUUAUAGUUUGAUCCUGGCUCAAGACGAACCGCUGGCGGCGCGCCUAACACAUGCAAGUCGAACGAGCGAGAGAGAGCUUGCUUUCUCGAGCGAGUGGCGAACGGGUGAGUAACGCGUGAGGAACCUGCCUCAAAGAGGGGGACAACAGUUGGAAACGACUGCUAAUACCGCAUAAGCCCACGGCUCGGCAUCGAGCAGAGGGAAAAGGAGCAAUCCGCUUUGAGAUGGCCUCGCGUCCGAUUAGCUAGUUGGUGAGGUAAUGGCCCACCAAGGCAACGAUCGGUAGCCGGACUGAGAGGUUGAACGGCCACAUUGGGACUGAGACACGGCCCAGACUCCUACGGGAGGCAGCAGUGGGGAAUAUUGCACAAUGGGGGAAACCCUGAUGCAGCGACGCCGCGUGGAGGAAGAAGGUCUUCGGAUUGUAAACUCCUGUUGUUGAGGAAGAUAAUGACGGUACUCAACAAGGAAGUGACGGCUAACUACGUGCCAGCAGCCGCGGUAAAACGUAGGUCACAAGCGUUGUCCGGAAUUACUGGGUGUAAAGGGAGCGCAGGCGGGAAGACAAGUUGGAAGUGAAAUCUAUGGGCUCAACCCAUAAACUGCUUUCAAAACUGUUUUUCUUGAGUAGUGCAGAGGUAGGCGGAAUUCCCGGUGUAGCGGUGGAAUGCGUAGAUAUCGGGAGGAACACCAGUGGCGAAGGCGGCCUACUGGGCACCAACUGACGCUGAGGCUCGAAAGUGUGGGUAGCAAACAGGAUUAGAUACCCUGGUAGUCCACACCGUAAACGAUGAUUACUAGGUGUUGGAGGAUUGACCCCUUCAGUGCCGCAGUUAACACAAUAAGUAAUCCACCUGGGGAGUACGACCGCAAGGUUGAAACUCAAAGGAAUUGACGGGGGCCCGCACAAGCAGUGGAGUAUGUGGUUUAAUUCGACGCAACGCGAAGAACCUUACCAAGUCUUGACAUCCCUUGACGAACAUAGAAAUAUGUUUUCUCUUCGGAGCAAGGAGACAGGUGGUGCAUGGUUGUCGUCAGCUCGUGUCGUGAGAUGUUGGGUUAAGUCCCGCAACGAGCGCAACCCUUACUGUCAGUUACUACGCAAGAGGACUCUGGCAGGACUGCCGUUGACAAAACGGAGGAAGGUGGGGAUGACGCCAAAUCAUCAUGCCCUUUAUGACUUGGGCUACACACGUACUACGAUGGCGUUAAACAAAGAGAAGCAAGACCGCGAGGUGGAGCAAAACUCAGAAACAACGUCCCAGUUCGGACUGCAGGCUGCAACUCGCCUGCACGAAGUCGGAAUUGCUAGUAAUCGUGGAUCAGCAUGCCACGGUGAAUACGUUCCCGGGCCUUGC
rnacentral:rRNA from 1 species